UGGGACCAAAAGCCCAGCAGCAGAUGCAAAAGAACUCUCCUCUGAACUUUCCUUAUCUGCCUGGCACAGAGCAUGGAGAAUCAGCAGCCACCACCCCACCUCCACCCUCUAGUUGGUCUCCAGUCAGGGAGGCACCGACCUUGGGCACCAGGACAUUCCCAAAGAAAUUGUAUAAGAAUCCUAAGGCACAGAGAGGUUAAGCAAUUUGCUCAAGGUCACACAGCGAGGAGUAGCAGCAUAGGAAUUCACACCUGGGCAGCCUGGCUGUGCACUCUGUCCUAAGCUCAGCCAGGCACCUGAGGAGAGACCCUCACACUUCCCGGUCUGCCUGCACCAGUGGUUCUCAACCAAGA